UACGGAGGGUGCAAGCGUUAAUCGGAAUUACUGGGCGUAAAGCGCGCGUAGGCGGUUAAAUAAGUCAGAUGUGAAAGCCCCGGGCUCAACCUGGGAACUGCAUUUGAAACUGUUUAGCUAGAGUGUGGUAGAGGAGAGUGGAAUUUCAGGUGUAGCGGUGAAAUGCGUAGAUAUCUGAAGGAACAUCAGUGGCGAAGGCGGCUCUCUGGACCAACACUGACGCUGAGGUGCGAAAGCGUGGGUAGCAAACGGG
rnacentral:rRNA from 1 species